GUCUUGUUAGCUCAGCUGGUAGAGCACGUCACUUUUAAUGAUGUGGCCGAUGGUUCGAAUCCAUCACGGGACACCA
rnacentral:tRNA from 1 species